rnacentral:rRNA from 1 species
ACGGAUAAAAGCUACCCCGGGGAUAACAGGCUUAUCUCCCCCAAGAGUUCACAUCGACGGGGAGGUUUGGCACCUCGAUGUCGGCUCAUCGCAUCCUGGGGCUGUAGUCGGUCCCAAGGGUUGGGCUGUUCGCCCAUUAAAGCGGUACGCGAGCUGGGUUCAGAACGUCGUGAGACAGUUCGGUCCCUAUCCGUCGUGGGCGUAGGAAAUUUGAGAGGAGCUGUCCUUAGUACGAGAGGACCGGGAUGGACAUACCUCUGGUGUACCAGUUGUCGUGCCAACGGCAUAGCUGGGUAGCUAUGUGUGGACGGGAUAAGUGCUGAAAGCAUCUAAGCAUGAAGCCCCCCUCAAGAUGAGAUUUCCCAACUUCGGUUAUAAGAUCCCUCAAAGAUGAUGAGGUUAAUAGGUUCGAGGUGGAAGCAUGGUGACAUGUGGAGCU